rnacentral:lncRNA from 1 species
CAGCUAGAAACUCAAUUCUGCAGGUUCUAGAUAUUGAUAAAGAAAAAUAAAAGUAACACCUGUCGUCUGAGAGCUGCUGGUACUGUCACAGGCCUUGGAGUUGCUAGAAGCUGGCCUUGCUAUCUUCCUUUCAAACAACCUCACAGGAUACCAGGAACAAAGAAGAGUACUCUGUGACUAUUGGACCUGACUCACUCCAGCCUUCUUCCUUCAUGCAUAACAGUUAUUGAGACACCCAAUCAUGAGUGCCCUGUUUCUCUCAGCGUUAAGUCCAGAGCACAACCUUGCUUCCUGAAGGAUCUACCCGAUUCCAUAGAGAUUCUCACAAGGGACUGUGUGGACAUGCAGGGGUCAUUUUGUAAGUUUUGGACAUGAACACAAUUGUCUAUUGAACACGUAGCUCUAUGGAAAAGGAACUUUAGGAGCACCUUGACUGCAAACGGCCUCACAACAUAGUUGUAGCUGACUGGACUGCAUCCGCAAUGACAUGAUGGGAAAUGCUUUGACCUCUUGUGCCAUCACCAUCACCUAAAAGUUUCGAGGAAGCAACCCCGUGUGGGGAAGAGAAGAUGCAGUGAGAAGUGAGGAGACCCAG